rnacentral:sRNA from 1 species
AUUUAGCCCCGGGUGAAGCGGCAUCCUUUUUUUGCUUUACUGAUAUUUGCUCUUUUUCAUUAUUUUCCUGCAAAAAAAGAUAAAGCGGAACACGGGACCAAUC